rnacentral:tRNA from 1 species
CGGGAGCUGGCCUAACUUGGUUUAAGGCGCUUGGUUCGGGUCCAAGAGAUUAGCGGUUCAAAUCCGCUGCUCCCGA